rnacentral:lncRNA from 1 species
CUGGGAGGCCGAGGUGGGCGGAUCACGAGGUCAGGAGAUUGAGACCAUCCUGGCUAACACGGUGAAACCCCGUCUCUACUAAAAAUACAAAAAAAUUAGCCGGGCGUGGCGGCGGGCGCCUGUAGUCCCAGCUACUUGGGAGGCUGAGGCAGGAGAAUGGUGCGAACCCGGGAGGCAGAUUUUGCAGAGAGCCGAGAUCGUGCCACUGCACUCCAGCCUGGGCGACAGAGCAAGACUCCGUCUCAAAACAAAAAACAAACAAACAAAUAUGGAGCAUUCUGAUAUGAAUAAGACACUUGCUCACUUCUCAAUUCCUUGGUGUCCAGCUCUACAAGUGUAUAUAGACUUCCAAAGAAUAUUUAAAUCCUUUAACAAAAAUGCCACCUAAGAAAAUAUGAAAUACUUCAGUCUGUCUGUCAGUGCUCACUUCCUGUCUAGAAACUUUCAGGCUCCGGCACAAAUGAACCAUGUUCUUCGCCUAAGUCAUUUAUGGAACAUCUGCUUUCGGUUUAGCAUCAGCUUUGUGACCUAGUAAUAUCUUUCUCGAGUGCAUGAAACAUCUCAGAAAUGCAAACAUCAAGGAAGAUACUAAUCCUUUCUUCCAGUUUCUGUGUGAGGGUUGGAGGCUGACUUUGGUGGUGAUCUUGCUCCAAAUUAUAGAACUACAUCCUGUCAUGAAGAGAAGUUUGUCUUCUCGAUAAAGCCAAGUAGCUAACAGAGAUGGUCACCCCAAUUACCAGAUGGACAUAAUUAUACUUGAAUGCUGACCUACAACAUUUUGUGCUGUGCAGAGGCUUUGAAAAUCAAACAACUUUGAAAAUACAAAGCACCGCGUGGAUGGCCUCACUCUGUCGCUCAGGCUGGAGUGGCACGAUCUUGGCUCACUGCAGUCUCUGCCUCCUCCUCUUGGAUGCAAGCAAUUCGGCCUCCAAGUAGCUGAGAUUACAGGUGCGUGCCACCACACUCUGCUAAUUUCUGCAUUUUUAGUAGAGAUGGGGUUUCACCAUGUUGGCCAGACUGGUCUCCAACUCCUGGCCUCAAGUGAUCCACUUGCCUCAGCCACCCAAAGUUCUGGAUUACAGGCGUGAGCCAUUGCGCCUGGCCUAGUAAACAUAUUUUUUUUAAAUAAAAAUGUUAUUUUAUCAUUUACAUAAGAUCAAAAACAUGUCUAUUGGAUUCCACCGCCCAGAUCCUUACACUGUACAUUCUAUUUUGCCUCAAAUUUGACUCUCUUCACUUGCUUUUAAGCUCUGGAUGAGUUUGAUUCCAACUAGUUCAAAAGAAAAAUGGAGCAUCCCAAAAGAACAUAAAACUAAUAAAAAUCAACUUGUUUAUGAAUCUAAAAUGAUAAAAAGCAAUACAUUUAAAAUAAAG